GAGCCGUGCUGUCUUUUACACGGAACCAAAGAGUUCCCAACUAAUGCACACAAAGGCUGACCUGCAGGAGAGUUAGCCUCAACUCUAUCUCCUUCAACACCUACCUAAGUUGGAAGAGUAAAGACCAGGAGAGUAUUAGCUUCGUCGGGGAUGCCUGCCACAGAGCGUGCCAAGUAGUCUGACGCCAACUGCCAAGCACAGCAGCACAGUGUGCCCAUGACUCAGAGUGAGACUCUGUCUCAACAGACAAAGACACAUGGGGAUGGAGGGAUGGCUCAGUGGUUAGAGUCAUUCCAUAAAAAUGACUAUGUAAGUCAUUUUCAGGGCACAGAGAAGGCCGGAGAGGACUGCACCAGGCUGAUGGUGCUCUGUGGUGUCAGGAACAGCACCCAUAGCACGCAGGUUCACGCAGGUUCACGGGAAAGCCCAUAGAAGACGACCUCUUUGACUUAAACAAUUGUGAUUGAAAUGCUUCUAAGACAAAUUGGUCUUUAAGGGACCACGAGAACAACCAUAAGAUUUUCUCAGAGGAUGCCUUCACACUCUGCAGGCGCAAGGAUAACCCUAGAAUUGUAUGCUCCGUGGUCUUUGCGUGACUUGAUAUGAUUUCUGUUGACACCUCUGCUAGGUUAUAUAUUUUUUCUGUUUAUUGGUGCUUGGUUCUAGAAAUAUGACUUCCUUUCUUUAAAAAAUAAUAAAAUUAUUAUCAUUAUUAUUAUUAUUAUUUAAAUUUUAGAAGUGAUUUUCCUGCAUUGUGUAUCACAUGCAUGCCUGGUGCCUGCAGAGGCCAGAAGAAGGGGUCAAAUCCCCUGGAACUGUAGUUAGAGGCACCUGCCAGGGGGUGCUGAGACUCGAACCUGUCCUCAGGAAGAGCAGCCAGUGCUCUAACCACUGAGGCAUCCCUCCAGCCCCAUGUCCUUUUCUUUUAAGACAGAGUCUAACUCUGUAUCUCUAGCUGUCCUGAGACUUACUAUGUAGACCAGGCUGGCCUCAAAAUCACAAAGAUCUGUCAGCCUGCCUCUGCCUCUUAAGUGGUGGGUGAACACCACCCUCCCUCCUCCGGCCUUGGAAUUACUUUUGAUCUUUUGGGACCUAGGAUUUCUGGUGAUCAAGUUUGACAUGAUGAGAAGAGAAGAAUAAUUUGUGACUUUUUUUAAAAAAUGUGCUAGGAAUUGCGGUAAGUGCUGGUGCACAUAUGACAGUCCUUUAAGGGAAGCAUCAUCCUUGUCCCUACUUUACAGAAGAGGAAACGGAGGCCCAGAGAGGUGUGUGGCUUGCUCAGGGUGACACAGCUAACGAUGGUAGAGCCAGCGUUCAGACCUGGGCAGUCUGGUUCUGGGGUGAAUGGUGAUGCCCACAGCCCAUCUGCCUCUGACUGAACCCAACUGAACUGCCCUCUCGGGAUUCUGUCUCUCAGACUUGGAGUCCUGACACAAAGUGUCCCAGGUGAAGCAGAGGAGUAUAAACCAUUAAAGGGACAAAGGUUUUCAGUGGUUUACUGGAAGAUUCAGAGUUAGCCUUCAGAGGCAAGCGGCACAGCUCUGAGUGAAAGGCCAGGGCCGGCUGGCCAAGCCUGCUGACCUGGGCUCAGCUCUUGGGACCCACACUGUGGAAGGAGAGAACUGACUCCCCUUGUUGUCCUCUGACCUCCACGUGUGUGCUAGGACACAUUCCCCAGCUUAAACAAAUAAACGAAUAAGUUAAAGUUCAGAGUUAAUCUUUAAGAUCGGUCUUCCCAGUUGCUUGCAUUGACUAGCAGCCAUGGCCCAUCUACUUGGGGAUGAGCCGUGAAAUCUGAGACUUGCUGGCUCCCAUUCAGGGCCUCCACAAGGCAACACUGGCUUGGGACAGCCACACGCCGUUCACAUAAUCACCUACACUGUUGUCCAUUUGUGAAAUAAUUUACUCUGAGGGCUUGUUAACCUCUCAGGCAUUUUAGAAACAAUUUUCUCGGUGAGCUGGCACUUCGAUGUCACUACGGCUGGUUAGAGGAUGUGCUUUCGAAGUGAACCCAGAAACCUAGUAACCGGGUUCUGGUGAACUCUGCAAUGAGGGACAUUGAACCGUCAGUAUCGGCCACUGUCUCCACUUCCUUGCAGAUCCCUUGGGGGACAUGAGAUAGCCUCGUAUAGUUAUUUGCACAUAAAAUAUGUCUCCCAUCCAGUGAAGCCUAGGCUCAAGUGGGGAAGCCAAGAUCUGCAAACAUGAACUGUUUUAAAACAUGCCAUGAUGUCACCGGUGACCUCAAAACACUAGAGGAGAAGACAUGACAUUGUCUUCCCAAAUGAAUGGCACAGACAAUAUCAGAACUAGGCUAAGCUCACUGGUCUCUAUAGACCGAUGAGGUUCAGGAGAUGCAAGCAUCGUGAGAGCGGAUAUCCAAUCAUUGAACACAUUUACUGAGCACCCCCUACGUCCCAGGUGCUGUAUCAACCUUCAGGAAACCGGGGAGGCAAGAUACGCAUCUGUGGAACAUCAAAGUUGGCCAGAUGUAGCGAGACACAAGAACCCAACUCCAUAUUGAAGACCCCGAAGUAGAGGGCUGAGGCUCACCCGAGCUUGCACAGCAAGACCCCAUCUCAAAAACAGCAAGAAUAAGAAACAGAGUUCAAAAAUGAAGUGUCUUGGAUUCUAAGGGCAUGAAACCGUCUAGGAGUCGAAGGAAUCUUUAGAAAGACAACGCUCUCUUAUGUCUAUUCCUUAGGGCUCCAGGCAGAGCAUGGGGA
rnacentral:lncRNA from 1 species